rnacentral:lncRNA from 1 species
UGACAGCCAAUAGCUGGCCAGAACAGACAUAGGCGAGGCUUAGGGUUCCCUGGGCUUGGGGGUUGGAGAAAAGAAGGUACCUGGAGGAAGGGGACACCAUGGGUAGGAGGAAAGGAAGUGUGGCCUAAGGGCUGGCCAGUGGGAGUUAUGAGCAGCCCAGAUGAAACAUAAAGAACAGAGAACUUGAAGAUAAAUCAGCAACAUCUGAGUAACAUUGUAACACAGCCUUCUGUUCUGAGUUGAUAUUUGAAAAAAAGAGAAAGGAAAGAAACCAUACUUUACGGCUAUCUGCAGAAUAGCCCAUUUGAAAAUAAAACCUCCUCG